AUAAAGGUGUCUUUAGACACCACACCUUUAUCUUUGAAAUUGUAUU
rfam:Picea glauca, whole genome shotgun sequence.